UUUGAGGAGUACUUAAGCAGGAGGCUGCCAGCACUUCGACGUUCCCAACACUGGUCAUGACAUAUAUUUUGUUUAAACUUUAUUUCAGGCAAGAUAUGAUAAAUGAAUAAGAGCUUAUUCUGGAGCUGAACUAAAUUUAGAACCAUUUAUUCUGAAGCAUGGGCUGGCACAACACUAGAUUUCCUGUUCUAUUGCACUAUUAGGUUGUUUUUAAACCAUAUGUUGUCUGUUUGAAAGGUUUCCACAUUAAAAUUACCAGUGCAACUAAAACGGGGCAAAAAUGGCAUUAACUAUGAGGUAUAAAGUCAAUAUAAACGGGGAGUGUGAAUUUUGUUUUUCAAAUUCAAUUUGUGCUAAAAAUGUUGAAUUAGGGAUUAUGAGGUUGUUCUUUUUUUUAUCUGAUCAUUUAAGUGCAGAAUUACUUUUUGGAAGUCUUAUUGUGCUCCUUUUUUCAGCCAACUCUCUGGUUGUCCGGAUCUGGGUUGUGUUUGUGUAUUUUGUGCUUGCAACUUGUGUCUCAGUGUUUUCCAGACUGUGCUGAACUUCCCAGGUGUGCUGGGUGACAGGUGUGACUUAUGCUGCUGAUUGCUUGGUGGAGUUUUUAAGCAGGAGGCUGCCAGUACUUUGACGCCAGAGUGUUUGCCUUCUGUGGUAACAAGCUCAGCCAAUGCAAAGUCUAUGCUUCGUCUCUUGUUUCGUGGAGUAACUUUGUUCUUGUGUUUUUGUGUUCUCUGAGCCACAGACUCUGUGAGCUAAGUGUUUUCUGGUUUAACUUCGUUUUGUGGAUUUUGUUCUCUACUUCGUUUUCGUCUGGAUCUUUGACCAAGCUGGCAGUCUCCUGCAACUCUCAUCUCCUGGACCGAGAACUAAGCUCUACCUGUCCACCCUCCACUGCAAGCAUCAGCACAAGGAAACAGCCUCACCUUUCUCCAAGCACAAUUAAGUCACUGCCUAAUGAUCAACUAAGUAGACUGGACUUCAACAACCCGAGUCCCAAAUCCCUCUAUCCCUGGCGACCUGACCACAUCCAUUCAUUGGAGUUUUUGCCUGUUUACAUUCCCUGUUCAUUUUGUUUUCCAAAUAAACAACCUUAUAACUUUA